AGAGUUUGAUCCUGGCUCAGAUUGAACGCUGGCGGCAUGCCUUACACAUGCAAGUCGAACGGUAACAGGUCUUCGGAUGCUGACGAGUGGCGAACGGGUGAGUAAUACGUCGGAACGUGCCCGAUCGUGGGGGAUAACGGAGCGAAAGCUUUGCUAAUACCGCAUACGAUCUACGGAUGAAAGCAGGGGACCGCAAGGCCUUGCGCGGACGGAGCGGCCGAUGGCAGAUUAGGUAGUUGGUGGGAUAAAAGCUUACCAAGCCGACGAUCUGUAGCUGGUCUGAGAGGACGACCAGCCACACUGGGACUGAGACACGGCCCAGAUUCCUACGGGAGGCAGCAGUGGGGAAUUUUGGACAAUGGGCGAAAGCCUGAUCCAGCCAUGCCGCGUGCAGGAUGAAGGCCUUCGGGUUGUAAACUGCUUUUGUACGGAACGAAAAGACUCCUUCUAAUAAAGGGGGUCCAUGACGGUACCGUAAGAAUAAGCACCGGCUAACUACGUGCCAGCAGCCGCGGUAAUACGUAGGGUGCAAGCGUUAAUCGGAAUUACUGGGCGUAAGGCGUGCGCAGGCGGUUAUAUAAGACAGAUGUGAAAUCCCCGGGCUCAACCUGGGAACUGCAUUUGUGACUGUAUAGCUAGAGUACGGUAGAGGGGGAUGGAAUUCCGCGUGUAGCAGUGAAAUGCGUAGAUAUGCGGAGGAACACCGAUGGCGAAGGCAAUCCCCUGGACCUGUACUGACGCUCAUGCACGAAAGCGUGGGGAGCAAACAGGAUUAGAUACCCUGGUAGUCCAA
rnacentral:rRNA from 1 species